ACUUACCCUGCGCUUGUAUCAGAGCCGCAAGGCCCAGGCACAUGAUAACACAUACAGCCAAAGUGCAGCACAAUUUAUUGCUUUCGUAUGUUGCUGUUGAAUCGAAUGCUGGGACGUCCCGCGAGUAACUGAGUUAAGUUGCAAACGCGCUGCAAUAUUUUGAUGGGGCCCAAAAGCUUUUGCUCAAAAGGAAUAACUUCGAACACGAACUUGGGCAGCGCACAGUGGGCCGAACAAGUCAAAUUAAAAGCUUUUGCUAAAAGAUUUGAAACAUGAGAGAUUACACAAUAAGUAAAUAUUUCAAAAAGAUUCGCCGCUCACAUAACCGAAUAGUUAUGAGUGAAUAACUUUUAAUAAUAAUAAUUUCAAAACCUACAUAAUAUAUUUAUUAAUUUUUUCUGAAUUUUAUACUAUAUGAAAUAAACUGGUUUUUACAAGCAUACAAUAUGCUCAUGAGAAUCCGACAAUCAA